rnacentral:rRNA from 1 species
GAUGAACGCUGGCGGCGUGCCUAAUACAUGCAAGUCGAACGAGGUGCUUGAGUAGCAAUACAAGAGUAUCCUAGUGGCGAACGGGUGAGUAACGCGUGGGUGACCUGCCCCGAAGUGUGGGAUAACAGUCCGAAAGGAUUGCUAAUACCUCAUGUGGUUAUCGGAUUUAGAAACUGAUAACUAAAGCAGCAAUGCGCUUUGGGAGGGACCUGCGUCCCAUCAGCUAGUUGGUGAGGUAAUGGCUCACCAAGGCUACGACGGGUAGGGGACCUGAGAGGGUGGCCCCCCACAAUGGAACUGAAACACGGUCCAUACACCUACGGGUGGCAGCAGUAGGGAAUAUUGCACAAUGGGCGAAAGCCUGAUGCAGCAACGCCGCGUGUGCGAUGAAGGCCUUGGGUCGUAAGCACUUUCUGAGAGAUGAGAAAGGACAGUAUCUCAGGAAUAAGUACUCGGCUAAC